AUACAAAGUUUAAUGGAGACAAAAUGGAGGUCUCACCCACUUUUUCACAGCCUCUAGAGACUAUUCAGAUAAAACAAUCUUAGGACUACUUUCCUCCUCUGAUCUUAAGAUUUGAUAUAUUUGAUACUGACAUAGUCAAAACUCUUUUUUUAACCAGGAAAAAUUAAGCUAAAUAAUUUGGGUUUGGAUAUAAAUAGCUUGACUCAACCAGUGAAUACUGAACUGUGUUACUAUUGAACAUACUGUAUGUUUGUAUGCUAAGUCCUUCAUAUAUUUUAAGUUAACAUCCGGUGUCAUUUAUCUUUCCUCGUAGGCUCAAGUGAAACAUGCGUGCUGAGGUUCCUUGAGCUUCAAAGAAAUCUCGGACUAAAUCACUCACUCACUAGAAAGCGGCUAUUGUAUUGGAUCAAAUUGACUGAGUGAGAUUGCCCCUUGCACAGCAAUCAGAGUCUAGAACAAAAUGUUCAUGAAAAUGAGAUGCACUCUGGCCCUUCGUAGUCUUCCGGUGUAUCAGCGCGAGGGGUCUCUGAGUUCUUCAAGACCAGCAGUGUAACUUCUCAGUACACUCACAGAAAUGUCAAUAUCUAUCAGUACAGUGUUGACAUAACAUAUUGUAUGGGAGACGAACUUGAACGCCUCCUGUAGCAUUCUCAAAAUUUAAAUAGAUUCAAGGAUAGGUUUGGACUUUUUCAAGUCUAUCUCAAUACAAUAUUCAAAUGUAUAUCGACAAAGUUAUUAGUGGGCGGAAAUUAUUCGUCCUAUCUCCAUAAUAGCCGUAAAGCAGUCCCUUCCUAUCAGGUAGGAUGAGUCUCUAACCAGUCUGCAGAAUUACAUUGAGUGUGUUUUUCCAAUUAUCAAGUGGCUCCACAUGAUCACAGCUGAUGGAGGCCACUGUACAGUGAGAGCUUGAUUCUAACUGAUGCUACCUGGAUGAGAUGUCCCAAACUGAUUUAUUGCACAAUAGUUGAUGCUUCAUAUGAUGUUCACUGUCUGUGUAGAUUAGUCACUGCAUAAAUGCCUAUCUAUAGAUGCCUGUUUUUUGUCUAGCUGUGAAUAUAUCCACAUUUCUAUUUAUUUUUUUGAGACAUUGAGUGUACAAACCUAUUGAUGAGGAGGUUCACUCAGUGUGACACCUGCUGGUCAUUUUUUGUAACUACUUUUGGCAUGCUUGCUGUUGGUUCUAUGCCAUUGAUCUCUGUAAUUAUUGAGAGCUCAUAGUACCCUAUUACCCCACUAGGAAACUGCGCUCCCAGAAUGCAGGCUUACUGGUGGUUCCUACAG